AAGAAUCUCAGACCAACAGUAGCACAGGACAUUAAAUACUCUCUCUCAAUCACAAACCAAUCUCUUUUGAUUAACACCUUAAACUUGCUGUGUAUAAUAUGAACCAACAAAAAAUGGACAACUUACGAAUGUUACUAUACGAAACACUUCUUAGAACAAUCUUCACCCAUGUUCAUGAAUUCCUCAGUGAUCCUGAGAAAACAACACAUUUCCCCUUUUUUUUUUUUUACUAUUAUUCUAGGAAUUUUAAACCUAACAACUAAAGUGAGAGGCUUCCUAAAUAUUCUCAAACCAAUGGAUGAGAACCACAACUAAGCUCAUUGAACUGUGAUCUAGAAGCAUGAGAUAUUGUGAUCAACAAAAAA
rnacentral:misc_RNA from 1 species